UGGCGAACGGGUGAGUAACACGUGGGCAAUCUGCCCUGCACUCUGGGACAAGCCCUGGAAACGGGGUCUAAUACCGGAUAAUACCUUCCNUCGCAUGGGGGUGGGUUCAAAGCUCCGGCGGUGCAGGAUGAGCCCGCGGCCUAUCAGCUUGUUGGUGAGGUAGUGGCUCACCAAGGCGACGACGGGUAGCCGGCCUGAGAGGGCGACCGGCCACACUGGGACUGAGACACGGCCCAGACUCCUACGGGAGGCAGCAGUGGGGAAUAUUGCACAAUGGGCGAAAGCCUGAUGCAGCGACGCCGCGUGAGGGAUGACGGCCUUCGGGUUGUAAACCUCUUUCAGCAGGGAAGAAGCGCAAGUGACGGUACCUGCAGAAGAAGCGCCGGCUAACUACGUGCCAGCAGCCGCGGUAAUACGUAGGGCGCAAGCGUUGUCCGGAAUUAUUGGGCGUAAAGAGCUCGUAGGCGGUCUGUCGCGUCGGAUGUGAAAGCCCGGGGCUUAACCCCGGGUCUGCAUUCGAUACGGGCAGACUAGAGUGUGGUAGGGGAGAUCGGAAUUCCUGGUGUAGCGGUGAAAUGCGCAGAUAUCAGGAGGAACACCGGUGGCGAAGGCGGAUCUCUGGGCCAUUACUGACGCUGAGGAGCGAAAGCGUGGGGGAGCGAACAGGAUUUAGAUACCCUGGUAGUCCACGCCGUAAACGGUGGGAACUNAGGUGUUGGCGACAUUCCACGUCGUCGGUGCCGCAGCUAAC
rnacentral:rRNA from 1 species